rnacentral:lncRNA from 1 species
AGAUACGAAAUCAAUAAUAAGAGAGAGAAAGGGUACUGCUGCUGCUUACCCUUGUAAGCGGACAUGACUCUGCCGGAGAGAGUCCCCCACCCCAAGCGCAUCCAGUGCUCUCCAACCAUUGGUCCAUAUGGAGAGCCCGAAACCCGCCGCCCUCAGCGACUCGGACGACUCCAACACCAAGCUCCUCACUCCCUUCCUGCAUCCAUCUCUCAAUCCACAAUGAAAUUUUCUCCUUCCUCCCAAGAGCAAUUUAUAGAAGAUAAUAAUGUCACCACAUAAAAACCAGCGUGUUAUUGUUAAUUAGUACAUACGUAUGGAGUCCCAAAGCUGUUGCGAGCCCCGCUAUUCCGGCGCCGAUGAUCACGACAUCCUCGAUGGCCUCCAUUUGAUGCAAGCUAUGAAUUAGAGGCAGAGAUUAAAGGUGGGGGCAGGCGAGGCGAGGAAAAGAAUACUUAUAGCUGGGAGGAGAGAGAGAGAGAGAGAGAGAGUUGAGACUCUCCUGAGGUCAUCGCUGAAGUACUCUUAGUCAUGCUCCCUGUAACGUGGAGCCCAACGUUGAAUCCAAUAUGUUCCACUGCAGCAGCCAAGAACCUGGCCCAAAAAGUUUGAUGCGACUAGGUCACUUCUCAGAUCAAGUAAAGUAACCCGAAGGUACUUGAUUACAGAAUUCGAUUUAUGGCAUUUUUUUUGGUAGAUUUGUUAAAAAAAAAUUCAGAAAAUUUGAAUAAUAGGGCAACCCUAUUCAAUAAGGAGGGAGGUAUAGAAUUGGAUGCUUCUCCUCUUUCAGUGUAAAAAGAGCUAUCAGAAUCAGACAAUAUUUCUUAAGGCUGAUCAUCUUGCAUCCUGGAAAAAACAAAUAUGAUAAACAAGAACUCAGUAAAAAGAUUCUUUAGAAAAUAUUUUUAGUAUAUUUAUUUUAAUAGAACAAGGCUUUGCUUCAACUUCUAAAUUAAUAUUUGAUUUUGGAUAACUCUCACCAUCUCUUCUUAUUUUUUUUGAAACCAGGAGGAACGAAUUCCUUCUUACCAUGUAUCCAUCCCACUCUAUUUAGAUAGAAGCUUAGACCUCCAAGAAGACUGAACCAUUCAAACAAUCGAGAAAUAACUAAUCUAGAUUAAAAGAAGGGUGUUGCCAUCCAAAAUUAAAUCCAUGACCGAUUGCUUCUGAGUGUAAGAGCAGAUGUCAUGAGGGCAAGAUGGGAAGAGAUUAUAAAACACCUAUACCAUUGUGUCACAUGAAAAGAUAAUUGUUUUGUAUAUUAUUAUAAAUAGUUAGAUGUCAUAAAAUUUUAUAUAUUAUAAUUUUUUGAGGGAUGUUUCGAUUUUUUUCCCCCUCUUUCUCUCAACGAAAAUAUAUGUGCACAAGGAGGCAAGGAAAGUACCGGCGUGGGGCCUUACCGAGAAAAAAAUGGAAGUUUCAUCGUCACAGUGAUUCAUCAAAUUUAAGUUAAUUUGAUCACCAACCGGUUGCCAUGUGCUCUUAAAAAGAGGCAUUGGACAUCAACUGUGGCGGAAGCGCAUGACGUAGCAUCUUACGUCUUACUUAGUUGGAUAUGAUUAUUUUAAUUUGAUCACCAACCAGUUGCCAUGUGCUCUUAAAUAAAGGCAUUGGACUUCAACUGUUGCGGAAUCGCAUGACGUAGCAUCCUACGUCUUACGUAGUUAAAUUUGAUUAUUUUAGUUAAAGGC